AUGCAAGUCGAGGGGUAACAGGGAAGAGCUUGCUCUUUCGCUGACGACCGGCGCACGGGUGCGUAACGCGUAUACAACCUACCUUUUGGAGGGGAAUAGCCCAGGGAAACUUGGAUUAAUGCCCCAUAGUAUGGGAAUAUCUCCUGAUAUUUUCAUUAAACAUUUAUGGCCAUUAGAUGGGUAUGCGUCCUAUUAGUUAGUUGGUAAGGUAACGGCUUACCAAGGCAGCGAUAGGUAGGGGUCCUGAGAGGGAGAUCCCCCACACUGGUACUGAGACACGGACCAGACUCCUACGGGAGGCAGCAGUGAGGAAUAUUGGACAAUGGGCGAGAGCCUGAUCCAGCCAUGCCGCGUGCAGGAAGACUGCCCUAUGGGUUGUAAACUGCUUUUACAGAGGAAGAACCACUCCCACGUGUGGGAGUUUGACGGUACUCUGCGAAUAAGGAUCGGCUAACUCCGUGCCAGCAGCCGCGGUAAUACGGAGGAUCCAAGCGUUAUCCGGAAUCAUUGGGUUUAAAGGGUCCGUAGGCGGGCAGUUAAGUCAGUGGUGAAAGUCUUCCGCUCAACGGGAGAACUGCCAUUGAUACUGAUUGUCUUGAGUUAUUAUGAAGUGGUUAGAAUGAGUAGUGUAGCGGUGAAAUGCAUAGAUAUUACUCAGAAUACCGAUUGCGAAGGCAGAUCACUAAUAAUAUACUGACGCUGAUGGACGAAAGCGUAGGUAGCGAACAGGAUUAGAUACCCUGGUAGUCUACGCCGUAAACGAUGGUUACUAGCUGUUCGGCCCGAUUAAGGGCUGAGUGGUUAAGCGAAAGUGAUAAGUAACCCACCUGGGGAGUACGUUCGCAAGAAUGAAACUCAAAGGAAUUGACGGGGGCCCGCACAAGCGGUGGAGCAUGUGGUUUAAUUCGAUGAUACGCGAGGAACCUUACCAGGGCUUAAAUGUAGUCUGACAGGAGUGGAAACACUUUUUUCUUCGGACAGAUUACAAGGUGCUGCAUGGUUGUCGUCAGCUCGUGCCGUGAGGUGUCAGGUUAAGUCCUAUAACGAGCGCAACCCCUGUGGUUAGUUGCCAGCGAGUAAUGUCGGGAACUCUAGCCAGACUGCCGGUGCAAACCGUGAGGAAGGUGGGGAUGACGUCAAAUCAUCACGGCCCUUACGUCCUGGGCCACACACGUGCUACAAUGGUAGGGACAGAGAGCAGCCACUUCGCGAGAAGGAGCGAAUCUACAAACCCUAUCACAGUUCGGAUCGCAGUCUGCAACUCGACUGCGUGAAGCUGGAAUCGCUAGUAAUCGCAUAUCAGCCAUGAUGCGGUGAAUACGUUCCCGGGCCUUGUACACACCGCCCGUCAAGCCAUGGAAGCCGGGGGUACCUGAAGUCGGUCACCGCAAGGAGCCGCCUAGGGUAAAACUGGUAACUGGGCUAAGUCGUAA
rnacentral:rRNA from 1 species